AAAUGUAUAUUUUAUAUAUAAGAAGAGAUGAAAUAAAAUAUCAUUUUUUUAAUAACUAAAUAUUUUGAUAUUUUUUGUUUCUCAUAUAUAUAUUUUUUUCCUUAUCCCCACCCUUAAUCCCCCUAUUCUAAAAGUGCCCAAACAAAAUUAAAGUUAUUACCCUCCAAAAUUUAUCCUCCUUCCUAAAAGUAAUCUCUUCCCAUAUCUCCAGCCAAACGAGCCCUUACCCUAAAAAAUUCUAUACAUCUAACAACUUUGAGCCCCACGGGAAUUAAUGGUUUCUAUGGAGGGAGCUUCAAAUGCAAACCGAAAGGGUUAAAAAAAACUCGAGACAAUCCGCUAAACCCAAAAAAAGAGAAGAAAAAGUCGCUAGACCCACCUCCCCCAUGAAUUUUUUUUUAUUACAAUUAAUGAUUAAUUAGGAACAAAUUAAAAAAUAAUUUUUUAAAAUUAUCACUUAGUACUCUCCACGUGAUCACCCCACUUUUAUUAUUUUUUUUUAUUUUUCUUACAUUGGUCAUCUUUUACGUAUUAGUCCUAAAUCCUACAAAACCUAAACCUACCAUUCUUCUUCCCCAGAAAUAUUUAAACAUCUAAUCUCGUUAAGUCUAGCCUUACCGACAGUUUUUACUAGAAAGUUUUAACCGAAUCUCAAAACCGGUGUCGUUUCAGUAAAAAAAAAAAUUAAAUCAAAUUUGGUUCUUCAAGUCAUCAGUAGUGAGAGAGAAAUAGAGAGCCAUUUCAGAUUUAGAAUUUACUUUGUUUCUUAUAUUCAACCACCUUAUUUUUUUUAAUACUUUUUUCAAAACACUUUGUUCACACUAAUAAUUAUGAACGUUUUAGAACAAAUACUAAAUUUUUGGUUCAUAUUUAUCAUGUGAACAAUGUAUAUGUUCAUAAGUGUAAGUGUGAAUAAAUUUUGUUGUGUUCAACUCAUAAGUUUUAAAUAAUUCUGAACUCAUAUUUUCAGUUCUGUAGUUACGAACAAAACGAGACACAACAUUGUAAACACCAAGAUAAUUAUAUCCACGUGGGGGUACAUUGUGGUGGCGCCAUCACAUGGUAUCUAAUUAUGGGGGUUACAAGAAAAGGGGGGUUAUAUGUUGACAAAAAGCGUUUUAUUUUAUGAUUUGAGGUUGUACUGAUUUAAACUGAACUUAAUUUUUAAUAUUUUGAAAUAAGUGAUUUGUACUAAAUUAUUUUUUGUUUGUAUUAAAAUAUUUUGCAAUGACAUAAGUUUGUAAUUUAAAUGGAUUUGGGUUGCAGAGACCAGCUUUGUUUACAUUGACAAGCUCCCUUCUAUUGGUUCUUAACUUCUCAGAAAGUACAAAAAUAACCCUCAAGAUUUGGAUUUUGUAACAAAUUCAACUUAUAUUUUUAAUUUAAAAAACAAAUUAAAUCCUAAAAAUUUUAACAUGUCAAAAUUUGACUCCUCCACCGUCUCCACUAUGUAAAUUGACAAUAAUAACUAGUUGUCACAAAAUGAUUGAAAAAAGGCAUCGUACACUUAGGACCCUUUUUAAAAGCCCUAAUUCUGAAAUUAGGACAAUUAUUACGACAAAAUCAGAAAGAGAAAGACAGAAAUCAGGUGAAGUAAACUAAUAAGGUGAAUUAUUGAGUAGAAAUAAAGAAUUUAAGUUAAAUCAUCGAUACGUGUUUUUUAAUCAUUUUUUUCUUUGUCCAUUGGAUAUUUCUCCAAUCGUUUUCAAUUAAAACCGUCAAUAAUGAAACUAGUAGGAUUUCGAAUGUGACGUGUCCAAACUUUAAAAUUUUUAUUGUUCAACUUAAAAACUCAAGAUUUAAUUUGUUACUAAGUUCAAAUCUGAGGUUAUUUUGUUAUUUUUUCUUUUUUUUUUGGGUGGCUUUUUGUUUAAAAAAAGAUUUAUCCGCAUCUGAAAAAUAACAGUUCUUUUCUUUACUGUUUUAUCCAUCAAUAACUAACAAGACUUAAAAUCUUUGCAGUUUGUAAAAAAAAAUUUUGAAACAGCUUUAGGAGGAGAAUGUUGGAAAAAGUAAGUUGACUGAUUUACCUAUUUUGUGGGUGGGUCUCGGUUAUCAAAGUAUAGAAUUCCAUAUGUGGAAUUGAUUCUUCUCGGCGAUAGAUAACCGUAAGUGUUAUUUUAUUUGCUUAAACGGAUAAAAAGUGAUGAGAAAAAUAUCCACCGAAGUGGUACCAUUGAUAUGAAACAUUGGAAGUCCACAUCGGAUAAAUAGGAAUAUUUUUAAAAGUGUUAAUAUACUACCAAGUUUAAUAUUAACAAAAUGAGUAAUUGGCACACCAAGAGGGAGUCACUGCCAAAUGAGUGCAUUGUACUUUAGGUUUCAUGUGUCCGCGUGCGCGUGGGUUGGGCGAUGGGCGCUUUGUGGCUCUAUUAGAAGGCGCACUUGACACUUACACGUGGGCGCGUGGGGUGUACAAAUAAUUGGUUGAAUAUUACUUUUUACUCCUGUCGUUUUUUAAUUACAGAAUAAACUCUUUGUAAUUCUAUUACAAAUUAAAUCCCAAGUAAUUAAUUACCGUUUUAACCUCCUAUUUUAUUCCUAUUCUCUGAAAGGUCAAAACCUUUUAUUUUUGAAUAACAACAACCAUUACAGCCAUAAGAGGGGAGUUAUUAGGGGGGUCUGGUUGUGGGCUGUUACAAUGUUUCAAUGGUGGAAUAAAUUCGUGACUUUUCAUCACCAUUAAAAAUCCUAUAAAUAUCCAUAUCCCUGCAAGUUCAAAGUCACACAAAAAAUCUGAGAGUAUCUCAUGAAAAAAAACAAGAGAGUUUCUGGCAUUCUGCAUAGAAUUUAUUCGUGAGAGAGUGAACACUACUUUUGAUUCGCCGACACACCGAAAUCGUGCUAACUUCUGUGAUCGAGAUCGUUGGCAUCCUGGGAGUAGACGCCAGCCAGCCCGUAAGCACCGUGACGGGGCAAAUUCUGUCUAUGAGACAAGUUUGACGCUGGCCUCGAUUAAUAAUUUUUUUUUUUAUUAUUGUUUUCAAUAUAGUUUUCCUUUUUAUCUGUACUUUAUUUUCACUUAUAAAUUCACAGUUUACUGAAUUAUUUUUAACAAUACAUAUAUAUAUAUAUAUAUAUAUAUAUAUAUCUAAUAUAUCUUUAUAUAUAUAAUGCCAUUGAAACAGUGUUUUUUUAGUGACCACCAACUUUUUUGCCUAUUUUGCCCCUGCUCCAAAAAAAUUUUCUGUAAAUUCAGUUUCAGUCCAUAACUUUCUCAAUAAUUACAGUUUUGGGGGGGGGGGCCAUAUAGUUUUAUUAUUACAUUUGGUCCCUAGAAGUACUAAUAAUUUAUAGAUUGGUUCCCUAGAGUUGCUGUAAAUUAUAUUUGAGACCUUCAGUUUUCGUUAUUGUCAUUUGUUUCUUCAAAAUUUUUUAAUUUGUCAAUUUGACCCAAAUUUUUUAAUUUUGACAAUUAUGUGCCCAUGUAACAUCCCUAAAAUUUUUAAUAAUUAUAUUAGUACUCUAAAUUUACUGAUAAUUAUAUAUUAUCCUAAAGUUGCUGUAAAUUAUAUUUGUUAUCCGAAAAUUUUAAAUAUUUUCAUUUGCUUUGGCUUUACCAAAUUUUUUUUUUUUAAUUUUGCGCCCCCCCCAAAACUUUUUUUUUAUUUUGGCCCCUACUGUAAUUUUUUUUCGUGUGGCCAUUGAAUAGUAAAUCAUCUACCAUAAUUUUUUUCUCGAUUUUGUCCCCGACCAUAUUAACUCAUUUUACCCUCAUUUUUUUUUUUCAUGAUUUUGCACUACUCCAACUUAACUUCUUUACCACACCAUUUUUUUUUUUUAUUUUGCCCCUACUUAAUUUUUUUCGUCGCGAUCUUGCCCCUACUACAUUAACUCAUAGAUUAUGUGUUGAUUAGGAUUGCUUAUUUUGAAAACUAGCUUAUGCAUAGCACGGGUAUUUCUAAUUUGGCGCCCCUUAGUAAUGUGAGUGAUGUAGGUCAUCUACACCCUUUUUUUUUUUUGGAUUUUACCUUGUACUUUCUUUAACUCAUUUACCACAAUUUCUUUUUUCUAUUUUUGGCCCUAGUGAACUGUGGUGAAUAUACCUCAUUUUGCAACUAUUUUUUUAGUUUGUCCCUUGGUAACUUUAUUACCACCAUUGUUUUUGUUUCCGAUUUUGCCCUACCUCCAUUUUUUAUUUUCGAUUUUGGCCUUGGAAUUACCGUCCGCGUGCAUACCCCACUAGUAGAUAUAUAUAUAUAUAUAUAUAUAUAUAUAUAUAUAUAUAUAUAUAUAUAUAUACUAUCCUCAACACAAAAUGCAUCAAAAGAAGGUCUCCAUUUCAUAUAGAGGUGUCAAGUGGGCCUUGCCGGCAUGCACGCACGGGCAUGGCACAAAAAACUCGACACUGGCAACGGUUCGGCACGGGUAUAAGUGGGGCAUGGCCGGUCUGAGCAGGCACAAUUACGGGCACGGGUACGAAUGGUGGAGCACGGCACGGGAACGGCACAAUAGUUUGGCUUAACAUGGCACGGAUGGCACUGCACAUCAAAUCCCGGCCCGGCCCGGGCACGACACGAUAGUGACUUGGUUGGCACGGCACUGACGCACGACACAUACUUAGUCAAAGCCGGGCAUGGGCAUGGCACGAAUGUGUCAAGGCACGGCACGAGUACGCACGACACGGAAGUGGCAAAAAUGAUUAAUUAGUCAAUCAAUUAAAAUAAAUUAAUUGAUAAAUUUAUUUUUUGUGCAAACGACUGCUAACCCAUAAGCCUAUAGCCUAAGCCUACUUCCCAAAUUAGAUUUCCAGAAAAAGGCCUUUUUGGUGUCAAAAUAUUUAUAAUUUGGGCAGUUCUUAUGUGUUGUCUUUCGAGCACAAAACUACUGUAAUUGUGCUUUUAAUUAAAAAACGAAAGGACACAAUUAAAUACGCGCCGGCACUACAUCGAUUACUUAAGACGGAUCAUGACACGCGCUGAGUCCACUCUAAGUUAAACGGGCCCGACACGAUUAGUAAGCGGGCCGGCACGACACUACACGAUUAAGUUAAAAGCGGGCACGUCACAGCACGACACGAGUCCCCCGACUAAGUUAGCAGGCAGCCGUAGCACGACCACGAUAGUAAGGCUGGCCCAAGGCCCACGGCACACACGAAUAAAGAAAAAUAGCACGACACGACAUGCUUAAAAAAAUCAAGACACGCUUAAAAAAAAGGCACGACUUGCACUAUUAAGUAAAUGGGUCCGGCACGUCACGACACGAAAACACGACUGACACGGAGAAGAAAUGGCAUGGCACGGUACGACGGGCACGUUUUGACCCAUCUAUUUACAUAUUUAAGUGUAUCACAGAAUCAUAUAUGUUCCAUCAACGAGCUUUGUACUCCUUUGAACCCUUACUCGCUAACCCUACAAAUUUAAGUACACCUACUCACCACCCACCCAUACCAACCGUCCGCCAUUGGUUCCGGCCACCACCCACACCCACAUCCCAAACCACACCCUCUUCCCGACCCACCCCGUUCCUCUCACGCUCUUCCCACCAUCCCCAACCCCUUCACCUCCUCAGCGAGGCAAUUUUUGUUUUCUGUAGCAGUUGUUUUAUUUUUCUUUCUUUAAUGCUUGUUUAUUUGGAUGGUCUGGAUUAUAAAAGAUUUACAGGUUUGAACGAUUAAGCUCAGCUUGGGAUAACUACUUGGAAUACUAAUUAAGUUGUUUUAGUUUCUUGAAUGUUUUUCUUUUUGUGUGACAUUUUUUUACCGUUGGAUCACAAUUUCUACUUUUUUGGCGUUCUCUUGACGGGGAAAAUAUUAUACAAUUUUGAUCUAUUUUUCAAAAAACGUCCACUAAAGACAAAGAAACAUCUAUUACUGGACAACACGUUGUUUUUCCCUUUUCUUUAGCAUAUUUUUUUUCUAAUUUAUAUAUUUUUUUUAGAUUUUUUUCAGAUUUUUAUCUCGGAAAAAAAUAAAAUUUUGAUCACCCAAUAAAUUUUUUUUUAAAAACCGCAGUAGCUAAUUAGCUUAAAAAUAACUAAUAUAACUGAACCUCAUCCUUGAUAUAGGUCUUUUUUACAUUCUUCUCCUGGAAUCUUUUCCUUCCUCCCAAUACUUGAAACCAAACAAAGACCACGAAAUCAUUUAUUGUCCUCUCAUUUCUUUCUUUUCCCAAGUUUCAAAAACACAGCCUUAACUUUUGGUAUGGCUUGUCGGCCUUGUGUAGGCCUACCAGGUGUUGAAGUUUGAGAAUUAGAGGAGCAGUGCUCCACUCUUCCUAUAUUUAUAAAUAACAUAUUUAUUUAUGUAUCCAGAGUUGAAUGAAUCAAUUUAGACUACGUAUCUUCGCAUAUCCUUUAUAGGUUACGCUUUCUCUGCUCCCAAUCAUACAAACAAUUGAUGGAUUGUGGGGGCAAUUCAUUGACCAUAGUUCAUGUAAAUCAAAAAAAUUAUGGAAUAUUGCACUCUUACAUACUUAGAUGUUUGAUUCAUUAAAAAAAAAUAAAAUAAUUAUGGGAAUUUUGUAUGGUGCAUUUACAUUUUUUUUUAUGGAAUCAAACAAAUACUUUUUUUGACAAAUACUUAUUCAUCUUCUCCCUUCUUUUUGGCACGACCUAAUAAAAUGAAGGGAAUUUAACAUCUUGAAAUUUAUGGGCGUAGACCAACAAAUCCCACACAUAACACCACGUAGCAGUGCAAGUUAGCACAACAGGAAAUAAUAGCCGAAACAAACUGAACCUGCCAAUAGGACUCUAAAAAUACGCCAUCAGCAGCUGAAAAACUUAAGUAACGAAAGGCUUGAAUGGACGCAAUUCAAAUAGCUUAGCGGAAGCCGAAACUAAGCCCCAAAAUCAGUCCCAAAUCGUAAGGGAAGGCACCAAUCAAACGAGAAAACUCUCCAAUCAUGGACAAAGAAAACUUAAAUUUUCAAUCUCCAACCACCACUGAUAAACAAGCUCGACUUUUCGAGAGUACUUACACUCUCACUAGAAGCCACAUAAGGCUUUUUUCGCCCGGCACUACACUAGUGUCUCUACUGACUUCUCAAUCCUUGCAAGAGAAGAUGAUACUACAUUUUAGUUCAUCCAUUUUCCGACUUCAUCACACUUCAUUUUUUUAAUUUUUUUUGUGUGGUUGUAAUCUGGGGGCGAACAACCAACAGUCAGAAUUGCUCUCGACUUUGGUAUUGGACCUCGACAAUAAUCUAGGUGACCUGCGCAAGGGAACAAACGUAACCGGCCAGGACGAGGCCGCUCAAAACCCCUCCGGCGUAGGAAUCAGAUCUCUCUAGGCGAAUGGUAAACUAGGCAAGACAAAACACAAGAGCUAUCAGAAAUGCAGAUACAAGUUAAAUCGUGUACCGUCAAUUGACGAGGGGAAUGACCUUUUAUAUAUGGAAAAUGGAGUGCCAGUGAGGAGAUCAUCUUAGAUUCUCGGAUAGAUAAGUAUGAAGGAAAUCAUGUGGAUUAUCGGAGAUUUAAAAUAGAAAGAUUGGCAUUCGAGAACAAAACCGCAAAUUAUAAGUGACGUAGUGGAGAAGAUGUCUCAUGGAGCUAGAUUCCUCGUGGAGGUGGGAGUUCUGGUGCAGGCGAAGUGAUCAACCUCGCCCCCCAAUUGGCGAGAUGGAGACAUGGCGAUAUCAUAGAGAUUGGCGGACAUGCAUGAACCUGUGCAGGGGACGAGUGGAUGUUUAUCAAAACUAAUUACCAAUCACACAUACACCAAAGGACAAUCAAGAUUUACGUGAUUCGGCCAACGAUGCCUAAAUCCACGGAGAGAAAUCAAAAAUCCACGAUCAAACGAAUGGAUUAACACGGAGGAGACUAGGAGACUCGAUGCUCAACUCACACCUCUCUACAUCUCUCUAUGUCUUGCCUCUCAAUCUCACCUCACAGUAAAACACAGUAGAAAAAUCUAUGCAAAAAAAACCCGACCAUCCUUUUUUGUAGACCCCGGGAAGGAGGUGGGUUGACUCCUAACAGAAUGACUUAAUCAUUAUCCUAAUCUAACUAGAAAAGAAAAAAAAGAAAACACUCUCAAAGAGUUCUAAUAACUCGAGGGUUUCACCGUCACAGGACACUCCAUAUGAACUCACAAUCGGGCUGGGGCUUGGCUACUGGGGGGACUGGGGAAACUUUGAACUCAUCCAAGUGGGCGUGGACUCAUCCAGAUGGGCUGGAUCAACAAUCGCCCAUUCUAGCCACCGGAGGAGGGUAAUACGAUGGUCUUUAAGUUGUCCUCCUGACAGCUUCUGAUCAGCCCACCAUAAAACUGCAGACAGCAUUCAGAGAUACCUUAGCCUCAUCAACGAGCAACUCCACUUCCCACCGAUGUAUGCCACCUCCACACCGAGUGCCUGCACCUUCUCACCGGAAGUUGCCCUGCCACCCGCCCACGGGGGGCCCCCACCCCCCCACCGGGGGUAUGCCCGGAAAGGACGUCACUUGUGAAGUUGUUGUGACCCAUCCUCUGCUCCCUUGUGCGCACAACUGGAGGGAGAACACCGCACUAAUCAAUGAGAGCCAAAAGAGACCGCUUCGGCGUCGCUGGCCCUUUGUUGUACAGCUUUUUAAAAUCGACUAGUUCUCCUUCCUUUGAGCUCUCAGGGACAUCCUGCACUGGUUGCACUACUGUGCCUGGCCAGAAGAAUUCCGUACAUAUCCCAACGCAUCUCCCUGCACUUUGUACCACUCGGAUCCCUCUAGCGUACCCCCCCCCCAUGCCGCUUGCUGUGCGUAUCUCUGUGCAACGUGCUUCCCUGUCCUUUCUCUUUGGCUAAUAACACUGGCACCAUGUUGGACCAAUAGCUCUCCUUGUCUGCGACACUCGCAUCCAAUCGAUUAGCCCUCUAGUUUCUUCCCUACAACAAUCUCCUUUUCCAUUGGGAAAACUCUGAGAGUUCUCCACUAGCAUCCAAAACUGCAUCCCUUUGAAUCUAGCAUCCAAUAAGAAAUUAAUUCCGUUAGAUUAGAAACAUGCCUUAUCUCAGGCAACGUACAGGACUCCCGUCGGCUUGCAGAACUGGACUGAACCUACUACCAACACUUCGCCUAGACGUGUUGUUCGCCAUCAAUACUCCCUAAUAUGCUGAUAGGAGAGAACACCUUCUCUAUCUCUGCACAAGUGGUAAGCAACUACCUAAAUUCCAAUAUCCAAUCUAACUUUACCAUCUUCCGAUGUUGCUAGGAGAACUCAAUUCAUCCUCAUCCUACCAUCACUGCUGUCGCUGCUGGCGUUAUAUGGAGGACUGAUCCUGUGCUUUAUACUUUGGACAAUCCUCUUGAUAUGCCCUCCUGUCCGCAAUAAAGCACUAACAGUACGACCUCUCGCCUUGAUGACCUCCACCGUCCUUUUCCAGUACCCUGUGAUGACCUCUUCCUUGACCCGGCUCUUUCCCGCGGGGGGGGGGGGUCUUUUUUCCCCGGGGGGGGGGAUCCUCUGAAGACUAGGGCCUAUGACGCACGGAUCUGUCGAACCAUCUCUCUCCUCCGAGCCUCUUCAUUGAAUAGGGCACCAUGAUCAUACUCGUAUGCAACUUCCCAUUUGGCGCUGAAUUGCUGAGAGAACACCACCAAUGUCUCCAACUUCUAGCAAGGGAACUCAGAAGCUAAUAAGGCCUACAUCUCGUCAUCAAAAAUGUAGGUCAACAUAGUCACUGAUGACAUACAUCUGGAAAAACGCUCAUAUAUUCCGCCACUGUAGCUCUCUCUGAAACUUCAAAUUCACAGUCUACCAUCAAUAAGGCUUGAUUUCCGAGAUGUCUCGCUGGUACAUCUCCUCCAACUUGACCCACAACUCACAAGCAUCGUAUCCUGUGCCUACAUGAUUGAACACUCGUGUCCAUGCCACGUCUGUUAGCCCAAUGUCUCCUAUUCAUAUUACCUCCAUUCCUCAUCCUCGUCGACUAAACGUUUUUUUCUGUAUUCUCCAAAGGGUCGUGCAAAUUCUUGCAAAAUAGGAUGUCCUCCAUCCUAGGUUUUCAUUAUGGCUAAUUCGUCGCUGAUGGAAAUGGUGAAAGUACAAUCAUCGAUCCCCAAAUUUAUGCUUUGCCAUCUUACUUCUUCCCAAAUAGAAGCCAAAAAUCCAAAACCAACCCCGCGAAUGAAUCCAGACUGCUAAGAAAUUCUUAGGAAGGGCUAAAAUGUCAAAAUCAGAAAUUUCUGGGACCAAAAUACUGCUCAAAAUCAGAAAGUUCUGGAAGUCCAAAUUGACAAACAAUCAGAAAAGAAAGUGCAUGGGACCAAAUUCUAACAAUAACCAAAACUUAGGACUCUAAACUAUAAUUAUCAGUAAACUCUAGGGACCCAAAUAUAAUUAUCCAAAAUACAGGGAGAUAAAAGUGUAAUUUACACAGUCAAAGUCAAUGAUCAAUGGUUCCAAACUGUCAACGUCAGCGGCUGACUGGCGCUGAUUGGAGCGUGCUGAGACUAAUCUCAAUCGGCGAUCUUCAAGCGGCGCGUUGAGGGCGGUAUGUCCGGAACUCGUUCAGACGCGGUUUGGUUUUAUGUUUGGAGCUCAAUAUCGACGAGAGGGGGGGAGGAAUAACCUGGUGUAAUAAAAAAUUAAUUUUGCAGCACUUCGAGACACACCGAAUUCGACCUGGGCUCCGAAUCGCCUCCCCUAGGCUAUGAUACAAGUGUUCUGCUUUAAAAAAAAUUUUAACAAUCACACAUACAUAAAAGACAAUCAAGAUUUACGUGGUUCGGCAACGAUGAAUAUAUCCACGGAGAGAAAUCAACAAUCCACUAUCAAAUGAAAUGGAUUUACAACGGAGGAGACUCGAAUAGACCUUCCAACUCACACCCUCUCUCACAAUAUCUCUCUGUCUUGUCUCUCAAUCUCACUCACAUGUAACACACGUAGAAAAUCAAGCACCAUACCAUCCUUUAUAGACCAAGGGAAGAGGUGGUUUUGACUCCAAUAGAAUACCUAAAUUUCCUCAUCUAACUUAAUUUCUAUUAGCUAAGAAACCACAAAAAGAUAAACACUCUCAUAAGAGUUCUAGAUAACUCGAGGAGUUUCACAGUCACAUGGACACUCCAUAUAUGAAUCAAUCGGGCGUGGGAUUGGCAUACUGGCACUUGAACUCAUACAAGUGGACUUGGACUCAUACAGAUAGGUGGACCUCAACAUGGACAACUUAGAUAAUUUAUCCCUCAUCAUCUUCAUUUUUUUUUAUAUUUUUCCACCAAGAACUCAAGAAAGUUAUGCAUAAUUAAAUAGGACAAUGCCCUCCUUUUUAAAAUCUCGUGGGUUGAAGCAGACUCACUAAUGAAAUUUGACAGGCCCAAAGAGGGUCCAAACCUAUCACACAAAAAUAAUAAAAGCCAAAAGGGUCUCAUGUGUUCUUUUUUUAGGUAGUUUGUGAUAGAUAGAGAUCUCCACGAUCAAACUUUGCAGGUAAUUACAAAUCUUUAUUAUAAUAAAUUGGAAAUGUGAGUCCACAAUUCUCAGAUCAUCCAGUUUUGUCAACAGAGUAAGUGCUUCUAUUCCCACUUUAGUGCAUAAUUCACACCCUCCCAUGCCAUGUCCUCACAUUAUGACAAUGGUUCCAUUUGGUUAAUGUUUACCCUCCAUGGUUAAAAAAUUGACCUAGAAGAUUACCUUAGCCCCAAAAGAGGAGAGAGGGAAGACCAUAAGAAUGUAGGCAAAAUUAUUACACAUAAUUGUAUCAUUAAAAUAUUAUGAUCAAUUGUGGUGGAAUAUUACUGAAUGGUUGUUGUUAAAAAUCUGAAAAUAGUUUGUCGUAUCAUUGUGAGUAAAUGGUUUUGAUUUUAUUUUGCAAGUAAAAAAAAAGUAUUUUUUUACUUAUCUGUUGUGAUGAUAUAGAUCGAUUGUUGGUACUGAAUGUUUACAUGGAUGUCACCAUAUGUAUUAUUUUAAAGUGUGUAAUGUAGCCGCCUACUAAUUACUAAUUUUUCUUUUAUUGUAGUCUUUUUUUCACCAAGUAGACUGUAAAAGAAAAAAAAAUUAAUACAUUUUUGUCAGUGUGCCUCAUUCGGGGGACCUAGCAGUGCAUCAUUGCUGUUCUAAGCUAAAAAGAAGUACCAUAAAAUGUUAGAAUUUUGUAAACCAUAGGAUCUAGGAAAUCUGCAUGCAUUAAGAAGAAAAAAAUCAAAACAUUAAAAAAAAAAAAGAGGUUGUAUAUAUAUCCUAUGUGGUGAAGUACCCACAGCCGCGAUGACUAUUUCAUGAAUGAAAAUGCAAGUUUAUUAGAGAGAUCUAUACAACAAGAGCUAUAUAUUUGCUAAAGUUUAUCAAAAUACCCUUACCAAAAAAUUGGAUUCCACCACUCCAAGCUCCGAAGUUUAAUCCUUGAACAAUAUGGCUUGUGAGCAGUAAUUCAUGUUCCACGGUCCAUAACACUUGCCAAUUAUAUUAAAUUAUUAGAGGAAGAGGGGCCCACAUUAUUGCUGACCCAAAAAAUCAAGGCAAAUUAGGCAAAAUAGGGAAUGACUAACCAACAGUCCUCUUCUUUUAUGCAUAUCAUGAAAAUACUACACAAAACUGAAACCUCUACCAAACUCCAUUGCGCCCUCUCUCUCUCUCUGUGAAGUCGUCU
rnacentral:lncRNA from 1 species